UUUCUCUGAAAACAGCAAAGGUUCUUGACCCCAAGAAGUUCUAGGGCAUUCAAACACAGCAAACAUACAUCAAUAUUAGAGAUAGCAAUCAAAGCAGUAAAAUGAAGAAGAAGGAGAAGAAGGCACACAUUAUCGAGGUUCACCCAAUAAACUGGGCUACGUCCUCGUUGAGCUCGCCUCAGAGGAAGACUUGCUCUUGCACUAAAUCAAUGGAGUUUAUACACAGAUGCUGAGAUUCCAAGCCACAUAAACAAUUGCACAAGAUGGAUCUCUCUAAAGACCAGAACCUUCUUUCUUCCUUGGAGUGAUUUCACUUCUCUGCUUGUUGUAAGUCUCAAAAUGAAAAAAAUGGGUUUGUAUAUAUUUUGGCAGUGCAUAUAUAUAUAUAUAUAUAUAAGUUGAGUCGGUUGCUGAGAGAGGUUGGAAGUUGAAGUCUUUGAAGAGUUUGUUAUAAAUCUGUUUUCGCUGAGUUGUACUGUAACUGAAUCUUGUUUUAAUUUCUGUGUAAUCUUGGCUUAUGAGUGGAUUUAAACAACAAAUACCAUGUAUUUUUCAAGCUACUGCCAUGUCCUUCAUGUUAUAUUCUC